GUAUGUGAGGGCUAUCUGGCUGUGACAUCUGUCACCCCAUUGAUUGACAGGGUUGAUUUGGCUGAUCUGGCUGGCUAGGUGGGUGUCCACUUCCUCCCUCACUGCUCCAUAUGCAUCCCUCCCAAAGCUGUGUGCUUGGUCGAAGAGGAAAACCUUCCCCAAAUAGAGGAGGACUAGUCUUUGGUCAAGGGUAUACGAGUAGGUGCACUCCCUUGCUAGAACCUCCAAACAAGCUCUCACGGUUGUUUGAUUUUUCUAUUGUUUAGUAUUUUGACUUAUUUGUAGAUUUUAGAUAUUAGGCUUUUGUCAGUGGUAGAGCUGACAAAGAUU
rnacentral:snRNA from 1 species